GAUGAACGCUGGCGGCGUGCCUAACACAUGCAAGUCGAGCGAUUCUCUUCGGAGAAGAGCGGCGGACGGGUGAGUAACGCGUGGGUAACCUGCCCUGUACACACGGAUAACAUACCGAAAGGUAUGCUAAUACGAGAUAAUAUGCUUUUAUCGCAUGGUAGAAGUAUCAAAGCUCCGGCGGUACAGGAUGGACCCGCGUCUGAUUAGCUAGUUGGUAAGGUAACGGCUUACCAAGGCGACGAUCAGUAGCCGACCUGAGAGGGUGAUCGGCCACAUUGGAACUGAGACACGGUCCAAACUCCUACGGGAGGCAGCAGUGGGGAAUAUUGCACAAUGGGCGAAAGCCUGAUGCAGCAACGCCGCGUGAGCGAUGAAGGCCUUCGGUCGUAAAGCUCUGUCCUCAAGGAAGAUAAUGACGGUACUUGAGGAGGAAGCCCGGCUAACUACGUGCCAGCAGCCGCGGUAAU
rnacentral:rRNA from 1 species